rnacentral:tRNA from 1 species
GCCUCCAUGUUGGAAUUGAUAGACAAGUCAGACUUAAAAUCUGAUGAACAGAAAUGUUCGUAUGGGUUUGAAUCCCAUUGGAGGUA